GAUUAACAUAGAGUAAAGCCAUUACAGAAGUCUUUGUCUUGGUAGAACUUGAAAAAAAAAAAAAUAGUUUUUGACGAUAAAAUCUCACAUUAGAUUAAGCCAAUUAGAAAUAAAAUACUAAUUUGUCUCUUGUCUCUCUUAAAGACUAAAAUGUCGUCAAUUUUGUAGGCAGAUCGACAUCCAAGCAGACUUUAUGUAGAUAUAAGAACAAUAAAUCAAUAUUAUAAGAAUGCAAAUAGCCAACUCUGUUGGUGAUUUAUGUUGAUACUUUAUCAUAGCUGUAAGUCCAGUUGCAAUCUUAUUUUGAACUAACAAAAACUUUAUUUUGUAGUUUUGCAGAGCUUCAACUCUCUCCUCGCUCCCUCUCUCUCUCUCUCUUUCUCUGGGCAGCCCCGAUGAACAUUUUGAUAGUUGAAUAAUGAAAACUGAAAAAGUUGUCCAAAAAGUAAGGAAAAUUAAUUGAAUGUUGUUGACACUCGUUACACAGGCAACCCGAGUUGGCUACUUUCCAUUCGAAUUGCAGAUGAAUUGGCCAACGUCAAGUUUUAUGCGGAAAUUAUGGCACACUUCCGGCCGGACAGCUGGACUGUGUCGGCUAGCCAAACAAACAGAAAGUGAGAAAGACAGUGCGAGAGAGACAGAUAGAGAGAGAGGGAGAGCAAAUAAACUGCAGUCUGAUGCAGACUGAAAGAGCGAAGGACAGACAGUGGUUAGCGGCAGACGCCCCUGGCCAAACUGCGAUAGUCCAGCAGCAGCAGCAGCAGCAGCAACAAGCCGUUGCAACAGUUGUCUUGCCACACGGACAGGCAGCAGCAACAGAGACUGUGAACUGAAACUUUGGACAUGGGUCAACAAGGUGAAGCCGUUGUCGUUGUCGUUGACGUUGUUGCUACAAGUUCGUUACAAAAUUAAAUCAAUGUUCAGCUCACAGAUCCAAGUCAUAAAAUUGUGUAAAAUUGAUGGCAAAUCACAAAAUGCCAUCUAACAUCGCAAAUAAAUGGCUCUCUGGAUGGCCUCGGGAAUGGUCAGGGCGAAAACUCAAA